CUAAUUUAUAGGCCUUGUUCAUAAACCUAAAGGAGUCCUAAAAGGUAAGGAAAUCUAUCAAAAUUAGGUCAAAAAAUUGUGUAAGGAAAAAAAAAUCAGCCGAGGAAGAAUUACAUUUCCUAAUUUGACUUGGAUUCAAAUUUAUUCCUUUCCAAGUCCAAGCAAAUCACGCAAUCAACAAGAUUCCUUUUCCUAAUUGAGAGUCACAAACCCAUCAAUCUCCAUUUUGACUCGAAAUUCUGGUGCAACGAACAAAACUCUCAGAUUUCAAAUUCGUCUACAGCAAAAUGAAAUUACCAAUCUCCUCAACACAGUAACCAAACUCUUCAUCACCAAACCAUUUUUCUCUACAAGGCAUCCACACACUACAUCUGAACCCAAAUCUCGAGUUCCCAAAAUUUCACCAAGAAAUUACUGUUGACCAAACAGUGUCGAAGCACACCCUGUAGCAGAAACCAAACCAAGUGCUUGAUCAGAAGGUCCCUUGUCAGAACUGUCAACUUCAACAAUCUCAAAAGUAUCAUAGACAUCAAUAACACUACUGUACCUACGCUCCAUGAGUCCACCCCUGACAUUUGAACAUAGUGCAACUGCUAAAUUUGGUGGCAAAGCGAAAUCACCAACGCUCCCCUUAAUAGUGUUCUGAACCGACCCAAAGUCCAACACAAAAGGUACUGUACCAAAUUGAAUAUCCACCACGGUAUUGAACUUGUCCCGAUGUCUCAAAACUGGUUAUGCGCUUUCCCGCAAUAUGUACAACUAGGAUCUCUUCCAUCCCUCCAGUACAACUCAGACACCUCUUUGAACCUUCAAAACUCCACAUCCACCAGAGAAUUUGUACCCUUUUGCAUCCAGGGUACUUUAGCGAAAUGAGAUUCAUCUUCAGAUCUGGAACAUGUCGAACCUGGCCAAGUGUUUUGAUCGUCCCAUCCUGCACCGCAAUCUGACUAGACCGAUUCCAGUAAUACGGCAAGACUCGUUGUUUCCCAUUACAACUCCACUUUGCUAAACAGCCUUAUAUGUCUAAAACAAAUUCCUAUCGAAACACAUAUGGUGCGAACAUGCCGCACCAAGAAUUCACUCCUCGUCAGGCUUAGAUUCCACGUCAGAAACCACAGUCAAGAAAAAUUCUCGGUAAUAUUAGUCUUGUCCGAAUUCCAUGAUUGUCCCCUAUGAUUUGUAGCUAAAUCACCUUUAGCCUGCAACUUGUCACAAUCCUUUUUCAAGUGUCUUCAUCGUCUGCAGUAGAAGCAAUACACAUUGUUGUUAUCCCUAAAUUUGCCUCUCCGUCGACCACCAUGAGAUAUAAGAGGUUCCUCAUCCCUCGAUGUAGCUCCAACAGAUACUUUAACUUCUCUUUUGAAGGCAAAGCAUGAUAGACAUCGUCUAUAGUCAACGUAUACUGACUGUACAGAAUGGUGUCCCGAAACGACGCAUAAGAACCAGGCAGCAAACAUAACAGGAUCAAGGCAGGAUCCUAUUCAUCACAGUUAACUUCCAACAUCUCCAAAUCUACGACAAUCUCAUUGAAUACAGCAAUAUAGUCUUCCAACGACCCUCCUUCCGCCAAGCGAUAGGAAUACAAUUUCUGCUUUACAACCAGUUUGCUAGUAAGACUCUUGGUCAUACACAACUGCUCCAGUUUCAACCACAAAGCAGCAGCAGUUUUUUCCUUCAAGACAUCCUACAGAAUAUUGUUGGAUACAUGAAGAUAAAUCAACGACAAAGCCUUUCGAUUCUUCCGUUGUUUCUCCUUCAUUGUCCAGUUAUCUGGCAUCUUCUCAAAACCCAGCAAAAUAUCGUUUAAAUCCAACUGCGACAAAAUAGCCCUCAUCUUUACUUGCCGCAACGAAAACCUUGUAUUGCUAUCCAAUAGUGGAAUAUCAAACUUCAUGGCAGUCAUCUCUGAAAACUUCAACCAAUCCGCAAAAAACCCAAGCUCUGAUACCACUUGUUGGGAUCGAUGGAUUGUAGAGAAUGAAGUUAAUGACGUGAUAUAAAGUUAAUAUGGAUUACAACAAUAUAAUAAUAUAUAUCAAGGUUUAAAGUAAAGAAGAAAAAGACAGUUAAACGCAGAGGCAAGAUGUAUUAUUAAUUGACAAUAUGAAGAGAAUACAAUGCC
rnacentral:lncRNA from 1 species